GAUGAAGAACGCAGCGAAAUGCGAUAAGUAAUGUGAAUUGCAGAAUUCAGUGAAUCAUCGAAUCUUUGAACGCACAUUGCGCCCGCCAGUAUUCUGGCGGGCAUGCCUGUUCGAGCGUCAUUACAACCCUCAGGCCCCCGGGCCUGGCGUUGGGGAUCGGCGGAAGCCCCCUGCGGGCACAACGCCGUCCCCCAAAUACAGUGGCGGUCCCGCCGCAGCUUCCAUUGCGUAGUAGCUAACACCUCGCAACUGGAGAGCGGCGCGGCCACGUCGUAAAACACCCAACUUCUGAAUGUUGACCUCGAAUCAGGUAGGAAUACCCGCUGAACUUAAGCAUAUCAUAGCGGAGGA
rnacentral:misc_RNA from 1 species